GCUGGUCCCAGGAACUGUAUAGGACAGAACUUUGCUACAAAUGAAAUAAAAGUGAUGCUGUGUCAGGUUGUUCGGAGAUUUCACAUCAAGGUAGAUCCAGAUAAACCUGCAGUGCCUUUUCCGGAGGUCGUUCUCCGAGCAGAAAAUGGCCUCCAUCUGAAAUUCUCCAGCAGGAAGAACACAUGAAACCGCGGCUUCAGAACAGAAUUCUGUGAUACAGAUAUUUGAACAUCCUACGGACUGCACAGAUCAUGUUCUGACCAGUUGUGUGUCUGUCGUCAGAUAGUUAAUUCUGCUAAUAAUAAAUCUGCAGGGCCGGAUGGUGUUGCUGCUGAAUUCUUAAAGGCUUCUAGUCAUCUCAUUGUACCAUAUCUUACUCAGCUUUUAAUCAUAUUCUUGAUAGUGGUAAAUUUCCAUCUUGUUGGGGUAAAAGCAUUAUUUGUCCUGUUCAUAAGUCUGGUUGUAGAGAUGAUACUAAUAAUUACAGAGGAAUUUCUCUCAUAGAUUCUACUUGUAAAGUGUUUAUGUCAAUUCUUAAUCGACGCCUCCAGCGAUGGUGUGAAGUUCAUGAUAUUAUCAGUGAAUCACAGUCUGGUUUCAGGGCUGAUUAUUCAACAAUUGACCAAAUUUUUUCAUUGCAGUCGUUAAUUCAAAAAUAUAUUAGCAAAAAAAGGGGUAGAUUUUAUUGUCUCUUUGUAGAUUUUGCCAAGGCUUUUGAUACUCUAAGGCAUGAUGUUCUUCUAAAGUCACUUUAUGAAGCUGGUAUACGAGGUAAAUUUCUU